UGGGGCAGACAGACACACAGACAAAAGAAGACACUUCCAAGGGAUGGGUGGACGACAGUGUGACGGGCGGAGGACAGUGUGAUGGGUGGACGACAGUGUGACGGGCGGAGGACAGUGUGACGGGCGGAGGACAGUGUAAUGGGUGGACGACAGUGUGACGGGCGGAGGACAGUGUGACGGGCGGAGGACAGUGUGAUGGGCGGAGGACAGUGUGAUGGGUGGAGGACAGUGUGAUGUGCAGAGGACAGUGUGAUGGGUGGAGGACAGUGUGAUGGGCGGAGGACAGUGUGAUGGGUGGAGGACAGUGUGAUGGGCGGAGGACAGUGUGAUGGGUGGAGGACAGUGUGAUGGGUGGAGGACAGUGUGCUGGGUGGAGGACAUUGGGAUGGGUGGAGGACAGUGUGAUAGGUGGAGGACAGUGUGAUGGGCAGAGGACAGUAUGAUGAGUGGAGGACAGUGUGAUGGGUGGAGGACACUGUGUUGGGCAGAGGACAGUGUGAUGGGCGGAGGACACUGUGAUGGGCGGAGGACAGUGUGAUGGGCGGAGGACAGUGUGAUGAGUGGAGGACAGUGUGAUAGGUGGAGGACAGUGUGAUGGGUGGAGGACAGUGUGAUAGGCGGAGGACAGUGAGAUGGGCGGAGGACAGUGUGAUGGGUGGAGGACAGUGUGAUGGGUGGAGGACAGUGUGAUGGGUGGAGGACAGUGUGAUGGGCGGAGGACAGUGUGAUGGGUGGAGGACAGUGUGAUGGGUGGAGGACACUGUGAUGAGUGGAGGACAGUGUGAUGAGUGGAGGACAGUGUGAUGGGUGGAGGACAGUGUGAUGGGUGGAGGACAGUGGGAGGCUGGGAACAGUGGCAGGCAGCAGGGAACAUUCAGAGGCAGGCAGGUUCAGGAGCUAACCCUUAUUCUUUUCAAUUAUUCACAAACCCUGAAAAAGAACCUCCAUCUCCUUUGCUCCCCCUCCCUAGACACACGCGCUUGCAAACAUACACACACGCUCACACACGCACACACACGCACACACACCCACACACCCACACACACACACACACACACACACACACACGCUCACACACGCACACACACGCACACACACCCACACACCCACACACACACACACACACACACACACAGACAAGGGCCCUUAAAAUACCUAGUCUAAAAAUAGCAGAUGGGAAGCGGGAGCUUAGCUAUUAUUAUUGCACACACGUCCUGCCUAGUCCCACCAAGGAAAGACAAGAGACUAAUGAUUUUCAUGGUGCAAGCAAUUAAAAA
ensembl:lncRNA